rnacentral:ncRNA from 1 species
UAAAACAGAAAAAGGACUCAUAUAAUUUCGCUUACAUGGCGCGAAAGUUUCUACGGGAUCGCCGAAAGAUCCUGCUAUGAGUGU